rnacentral:rRNA from 1 species
GGGUUGUGAGGUUAAGUGACUAAGCGUACACGGUGGAUGCCUAGGCAGUCAGAGGCGAUGAAGGGCGUGCUA